UUCGUCUCUGUUGGAGAGUUCCAGUAGUAGCCGCAGUGGCUUGAGAAGAGUCGGUUCAAAUGUGUCGUCAUCUCCUUCGGCGCGCUCGCCUUCGGCCUCAAGCGGCUUUAAGUCAGCGUCUCUGUCAGCGUCGAUGGAUAGGGGUUCUUCUCUGACUAGUCGGAGGAAGAAUUCAAUGGACAGUCGUGAUUCUCGCUUCAUUAUGCUGCCACAUGUUGAUGUCAAAGCCGGGGAUGACUUGAGG
rnacentral:misc_RNA from 1 species